AACCGUACGAACGUUAUUCGGAAUCACUGGGCUUAAAGAGUCCGUAGGCGGCCGUGUAGGUGGGAUGUGAAAGCCCUCGUCUCAACCGAGGAAUUGCGUUCCAAACCACAUGGCUUGAGGAGGAUAGAGGUGAGCGGAACUGAUGGUGGAGCGGUGAAAUGCGUUGAUAUCAUCAGGAACACCAGAGGCGAAGGCGGCUCACUGGGUCCUUUCUGACGCUGAGGGACGAAAGCUAGGGGAGCAAACGGG
rnacentral:rRNA from 1 species